rnacentral:rRNA from 1 species
GUCUUCAGCCAUGCCACCUUGAACGUGCUCGAUCUUGUCUGAUCUCGGAAGCUAAGCAGGGUCAGACCUGGUUAGUGCUUGGAUGAGAGACCACCUAGGAAGACGAGGUGCUGUAGGUG